UACAGAGGUCCCAAGCGUUGUUCGGAUUCACUGGGCGUAAAGGGUGCGUAGGCGGUCGGGUAAGUCUGGCGUGAAAUCUCCAAGCCUAACUUGGAAACUGCGUUGGAUACUAUCCGGCUCGAGGAAUGGAGGGGAGACUGGAAUACUUGGUGUAGCAGUGAAAUGCGUAGAGAUCCGGAGGAACACCGACGGCGCAGGCAGCGUCCUGGCCGCUUGCUGACACUGAGGCACGAAAGCUGGGGGAGCAAACAGG
rnacentral:rRNA from 1 species